AACGAACGCUGGCGGCACGCCUAACACAUGCAAGUCGAACGCGAACGGAACUUCGGUUCUUAUUAGAGUGGCGGACGGGUGAGUAUCGCGUGGGAACAUGCCCUUUUGUACGGAACAACCAUUGGAAACGAUGGCUAAUACCGUAUACGCCCUUCGGGGGAAAGAUUUAUCGCAAAAGGAUUGGCCCGCGUUAGAUUAGCUAGUUGGUGAGAUAAGAGCUCACCAAGGCUACGAUCUAUAGCUGGUUUGAGAGGAUGAUCAGCCACACUGGGACUGAGACACGGCCCAGACUCCUACGGGAGGCAGCAGUGGGGAAUAUUGGACAAUGGGGGCAACCCUGAUCCAGCGAUGCCGCGUGAGUGAUGAAGGCCUUAGGGUUGUAAAACUCUUUCAGGUGGGAUGAUAAUGACAGUACCACCAGAAGAAGCUCCGGCUAACUCCG
rnacentral:rRNA from 1 species